ACAACGCCAUUUGCAGGGGAAGCAGGCCAUGUUUUGAUCCUCACACCAUUAUCUGUAUUUGUAAUUGUGCAGUUCUUGAUAAAUAUUCCAGACACAGGUUCUUCAUUCUCAUACUUUCCGAGGCUCCCGAUGCUUAUGCCGUGGCCUGGUCCACAAGUAACGUUGGUUACAUGGAGUUGCUUGGUGCCAUCACCAAUAGAGAUGCAAUCAUCCCCAGUUCCAAUGGUCGUAUCUGUGAUGUUGAUCCCAGUUGAACGUCCGAUAUGAAUUCCAUCGGUAUUGAUGCUUUCUUUAGGCGCUGAGACGGUAAAAUGUUGGAAUGCCACAUUGUUGCAACCCAAAAGAUUUACGUGGAAAUUUUUGCUGUCUUUUGUUGUUAUGUCUCGAAUUAUGGAAUUGGUGACAAAAUUGAAUCUCAGAUUCUGCGAAUAGUGUGAAAAAGUUAAAACAUAUACAAACAAGACGAGUAAUAUUUCUUGCCAAAGUUAUGUUGUCAGGAAAAAUUCUUAUAUUAUCAUACUGUGAAUAAAUAUUGCAGAUUACCAACAUGUUCGAUGGCUUAGAUUUGCUCCCUGACAUAUACACCUUUUUCACAUAUAUGGGAUCAGCUAUCAGGCACCAUAUAUUCAUAGAAGAGUAUGAUCAACCGUAUAGUUUCACAAUCUAGCAAUAGAUUUUAAUUAUAAAAGAACAAGAUUUAAAUUAUCUUACGAUAGCAAUAGAUUUGCAAUUUUUGUUUUUGUUGCAGUCAUUUUGCUUCCAAGCAGUUGCUCCUAGGCCAUCGAAAGUUCCACCACCGGAUAAGGUGAGCCCAUCAAUGCGCUCAAAACCUAUCCAAGUAUCUGCUUUUGGGAGUUGGCUGCCAUCUUCUGGAGCCUGCAAUGUGCCCUGAAGCUGAAACUCAAUAGGGGCUUUGCAUGGUCCUUUGAAAGUUGCCCCUACAAACUUGUAUGUCCCACUUGGAACCACAAUUUUACUUGCCGAUGUCGAUGCACAUGCAUCUGUCCAAGCUUUGCUCAAAGCCUAAUUAAAACAUUGAAUAAAAAUUAAAAAUUGAAAUGAUUCUGUUUAAUUACCCAACAAUUCUAGAACGGAAAUGAUUUUCCACUUAUUAAUUUUCCCCAAGCAUAUUUAUUUCCUACUUCUAAAUUAAACAAAUCAAAAGAAAAAUCAAUAAACAAGAACAACAAUGUGCAAAGACCAAAGAGUGUGUACGGAAGUAAUUUCUGUUCUAACUCGAAAUAUUAGUUUAAAAAUUCAAGAAGAAUUACAUGCAUACAUAUAUAAUGCCUACCUGGGUAAUAUCAGAGUUUGCUUUUCCACCAUAAUUUGCACUUGUUACAUCAUAGACACCAGAUUGGGCAUUAGAUGUGGAUACUAACAACAAGGACACAAACAUUGGCAAGAUAUUUUUCAGUUUCAAAUCCAUCUUGAGUUUUCAAUUCGGAAUUAGUUUCUUACGUUUGGAAGUUCGAUGAAAACUUUAUUUUGGUUUCAUCAGAACUUUAUUCUCACAUUGGAAAGCUUAACGCCCUCAAAUUACUCAACCAAUUAUUAGCUAUUUUUAUGGAAGAUGCCUCAACCCCAAAAACCGUGCACGAAAAAAACUAGCCGCCGUUGAUUUAUUCAAAAGAAAAGCUUAAUUAAGAGCUUGAAAUUCCUCACAAAAUUUCUUCCAAGACAGGGAAAUAACCCCGAAUUAAGAUGCCUUAAUUAAGAUGUUUAAUUGCAAUGUAGUUCAAGAAUUGUAUCCUAUAAUUAGUAAUUAAUUAAGCUGCUUAUAGUUUUAGAACAUCAAUUACCACCACUACGUAUGGCCCUCGGCUAGUUCAGUGUUCAUUACCACUUCUUUAACAUAUUGUUCUCCAUGCUGCCCCUCCAAGUCAGUACUCAAAUUGUUUCUUCCAAGCAAACCCUAGUUGCUGCAGCCACCAGCACCCCGAUCAACGCCAACUCCACCACCGCGACACAACUACAACUUGUUUAAACUUGACGGCAUUACUUGUGGGAAUCUUCAACAAUUCUUCACAUCAUAGCAUAAUAUUCCAGCUCAACUCCAUCUCGGUCUCUCCCGUUAUAGUCUACUCCUCUUCACUGACCGCAAAUUGGUACAUCACUUUACUCAAUUACAAAGACAUGAGCAUCUACUAUGACUUACUCAUGCAAGUCUCGGUUUUCUAUCACAAGGAGUUUCUCUCCAUGACUAAUGUCGUCGCUAACGGUUGUACCAAGAUCCAAUUCGUCUGAAGAAUGAGACGCAAGUGCAUGCCAGUGCUUUUGCCUCGUCGGUGUUUGUCAAGGAUCUAGUUGUGGCUGCUAUGUUUGAGGAUUUCAGGGAUGGAAACGUGGGGUUCGACGUGGCAGUGUAGGGUGCUUAUAGGGUGUGGAAAGAGGAUCGCAUUCCGCAAGUAGGCUGUUGAGUAGGGGUGGGUUUAAAAAACCAAAAACUAAAAAAAAAUCGAACUGAACACCGAACCAAAGCCGGAAAAAAAAAAAUCAAACCAAGUGAACCGAAUCGAAAUAGGUUGGUUUGGUUUCGGUUUUGAUGGUCCAGAAACCGAACAGGAUCGAACCGAACCGAUUUAUAUUUAAUUAUUUAAUUGGGUUAAUCUCAGUUUACUAUCAUGAAGCUUCUUGGUUUUCAACAUUUAAUACAUGAAGUUUUUUUCAUCCUAGAGUGGUAUAUAAAGCCAUAAUUUUGGGACACUUUCAUAUAUCCGUUAAGUUUUCUGUUAAAUCAGUGGUUAACUGGUGACAUGGCACUCAUAUGGACAGUGACUAGGCACCACGUGUCAUCGGGGCCCACAUAAAUAUUAAAAAAAUUAAAAAAAUUAAAAAAAAAUGUUUUUGGGCCUUCCAACUUAACCCUCGACCCCCUCCCUCCCUUCUCUCCACUAAGCCUUCCAGCUCCCACCUCCUCCUAACCGCUGGCGAUCGCCAAGGCUGCAUCAUCCUCCUCGACCUCCACCUGUCUCCCAUCCUCUGGUUCGAUACCGACUCCUCCCCCUCCAAACUCGCCAUACAGGACCUCGCAUGGGUCCAGGCCCGACCUGACUCCUUCUACAUCUCCUCCAUCUUCGUCUACAACAACUCCACUAGCAAGGAGCUUGCUUUUCCCCUCCACGGUUCGUAUUGCAACUCUCAUUCAUCUUCUCACUAUAGUUUUUCCCCUCCAUGGUGAUUCACUGAAACGAAUCCAAACAACUCACUCACACUCAGUCACUCAUCUCUUUCCCCCUAUCUCUCCAUUUCUCUCUUUAAGGUUUUAGUUUGGGUUCAAUUGGAGUGGUCCGAAGAUCAAAAAAGGCGGCAGUGGCGGUGGGGAAGCAGAGGCAUCGGAGGAGGUGAUGGUGACCGAUUAGCUAAUGGUAUACAGAGGGGCGAAGAAAGAGAGAAGGUGUACGGCAAAAGAGCACAUCAGCAAAAUGCCUUUGUGCGCUGCUGGAAAAUGUAGCUCCAUUUACCGUGGAGACACUCGGUAAUUAAGCUCCUCUUUCUCUUUCUGUUUGGUUGCUGAGAAAAAAAAAAGAAAGGAAUUUUGAUUAGAUUUUGUUGAUGCACAAAAUCAGUGGGAACUUUGAUACAACAAAAAAUGUUAAGUUUGUGACCUUUGCUAAACUACUCUGGUCACUAGUGUGGAUAAGUAUGUAAAUGGAUAAAGACAGGGAAGCAAACACAAGAUGUACGUGGUUCACCCAGAUUGGUUACGUCCACAGAGUAGAGGAGUUCUCAUUAAUUGUGAAGGGUUUACACAAGUACAUAGGUUCAAGCUCUCCUUUAGUGAGUACUAGUGAAUGAUUUAGUACAAAUGACAUAAGGAAAUAUUGUGACAGAAUGAUCUCUAUUUAUAGAAGAGAGUUUCUAGUUUCAUUCUGACAUUGACACGUGUCGUGUUGUGAUUGGCCUCUGAUGUCGACACGUGUCACGUUAUGAUUGGCCUCUGAUGUUGACAUGCGUCGCGUUGUGAUUGGCCUCCUGAUUGGAGGGAGACUCUUGUGGGUCCUUGGCGGUAUAAUGUUGACCGGUGCUUAGUAGUUUCGAGGUUGGUCAAGUAUGGUACAAACAAAUUUGAUUAGGAAUUUGGGUAUGGAAAUGUAGGCAUAGGUGGACAAGUCAUUAUGAGGCUCAUCUCUAGGAUAAAAGUACUUGGAUUCAAAACCAGAAUAAGAAAGGAAUCCGAUGUCGUCAUCAAGAAGCUUCAGAUUCAAGCCAAAUCUGAUGUCGGCUGGUGAAGCUGUUGUAGAGAGAGAGGGAAGAGAAUCCGGAGAUGAAGGCAAAGAGGUAGAAGUCGGGUCGGGCCUGGACCCAUGCGAGGUCCUGGAUGGCGAGUUUGAAAGAGGAUGAGUCAAUAUCGAACCAGAGGAUGGGAGACUUGAGGCGGAGGUCGAGGAGGGUGAUGCAGCCCUGGUGAUCGCCAGCGGCGUGGAGGAAGUGGGAGCUGGAAGGCUCAGUGGAGAGAAAUGAAGAAGGGAGUCGGGGUUGAGCUGGAAGGCCCAAAAACAUUUUUAAUUUUUAAUUUUUUAAUAUUUAUAUGGGCCCUGAUGACACGUGGCACCUAGUCACUGUCCACGUGAGUGCCAUGUCACUAGUUAAUGGCUGAUUUAACAGCAAACUUAAUGGAUAUAUGAAAGUGUCCCAAAAUUGUGACUUUACGUACCACUCUAGGAUGAAAAAAAAUUCAUGUAUUAAAUGUUGAAAACCAAGAAUUUCAAGGUAGUAAACUGAGAUUAACCCUAUUUAAUAUAUAUUAAUUAUAUAAAUUAUAUACAAAUACUCAAAAUCUAGAGGCAAAAGUUUUUGAACCCCUUAUACCUCCUGGUUGAGAGUUUUUUGCUUCAGCCAACUUGAUAACAAGCUUUGUGUAGUUAUAAUCAUAUUAGUAAAAUAUUUAUACUGAUUCUAGAGCUUUAAUUCUUUAUAAGAUUUCUAAACACAAAACCCUAGCCGUCCCAUUUACUCCCAUUUCAUCUCCUUGUUCUGACUUAUCAGCCUCUCUCUUCGACCUUUGAAUUCUUGCAUCUCCAUAAUUUCUUUGUUGAACGCUCGAAUGUUUGCAACUACAAGCGAUUUAUACAAGGAUUUGCAGCAAUCCAUUCAUCAUUUUCAGGUGGGUCACCGCCGCGAUGCCAAAUUCAAGAAGUUCAAGUUUGAAAACGGUGCUCUCGCUGUAUCAAUUUCAUCUAUUUUGUUUCGAAAACGGUGCUCUCGUUGUAUCAAUUUCAUCUAUUUUGUUCCCAAUCUUGUAAAUUUGUUUAAUUUGUGAUUGAAUGAUUGGGUUCAUAAUCAUUACCCCUGCAAUGCUGAUAAGCAAUGCACAAACGUGGAGUUUUCUUAUAUGUAACCUGACCAGAACUCAUAACCCUUUUGAUGCAAAUUUUGAAAUGUGCAUUUUUUGUGCAAAUUGGUUCUGAUUGGGUUAUGAUGCAUCUGUGCAAUGUGCAUUUUUGUGCAAAUUGGUUCUGAUUAGGUUAUGCUGCACCUGUUUUGCUUUUCUUGAUUGUGCAUGCCUCCCUUUCUGAAUGGUUCUUGUUCCUCCACUCUCCAUCAUAAUUAAAAGAAAUUGUUGCAGAAAAGAGGAAGAAAACAAAUGGCAGAUCUUGAAGAUGCAGGGUCCAUUAAAAUCUAAAAUUUUAUGUACCCAAAAUUGCAAUGAUGAAGAUUAGAGCAAUGCAAGAGUGUUCAGAGCAAAGAAGAAUCUAAAAAACCCGAACCGAUUGGAAUGUGAUUGUUCUACACUAAUUGGAAAUUUUUAGGAAUUUUUUUCACCAUUGAAGAAAAAAAAAAAUCGAACCGAACUGAAAUCGAAUCGAAAAAAAAAAGAACUGAAAUUUCAAUUCGAUUUCAGUUUUAGCAAAAAAACAGAACCCAACCCUACUGUUGAGGGUUGAUUGUGAUUGUCAGGGUUGAGAUGUCAAACAAUGGAACUGAUGAAGCCUUGUCUGGUGGAUCAAGUAAAUUUGAUGUUGAGAUCAUUUUUAUGUACUGCUUCAAACUAUGCCCGUGCUACCUUUAUAUAUGUAUUAUUCUUUUGACUUCCAUUUAACUCAAUUGACUAAAAGCAACUACCCUAUAUACUCAAGAUCUCAAGUUCUAUUCCCACUUCUCCCAAUAUUUGCUUGCAUAAAAAACUUUUGUAAAAGUUUAGGGUUCUAGUAAAUAAAAUUUGACUAGCUACUUCAGUGCAUCAGUUUGUUUGGACCCAAAUUUACACCAUCGGCCCGUGUAAUCAAGGUCAUUGAGUAAGCAUAGUUCUCAACCGUCAGAUGAAAAAGUGAAGAUAUUUUUAUUAAAGGAUAAUAUUAUGGUUUUUGUCAUAGUAAUUAUUUUUUAUUUUGGAUUAUCUUAGCAUUAUAUCUUCGAACAAGUACAGUUCGAGUGAACUUGGGAUUACUGCUAUCAGACUGGAGAAACUUGGUAGAUGAGGUUUGAAAAGUCAUGGUGCAUGCACAGAUGGAUUAUGAAGAAGUCUAGAUAGGCUUGGCUUUAGUGGUGAUGUGAUAAGUCUAAGAUUUAAUAGUCUUAGAUAAUGAUGACAAGCCUAGGUAGGCUAGGCUAUGAUGAUAAGACUUUUAUUUGAAUAGGCUUUUGUGAGGUUUGGAAAAUCGUGAACAUCUAUCUGAAGGAUAUGGUAGUUCUCUGAUGCGGAUUAAUUUCAGUUCCGUGGAAAAGAAUUGCAGUUGGACUCUACAAGCAUCAUCAGGCUGUGCCAGGUAGAUAUCAAACGCUAUAAAUACAUGAAGGUUGUGCAGCAUUGAGGACAACUCCAACUCAACACACAAACUGCCAUGCGCAAACCCUCGCUCUACGCGAAACCUCUCAACAACCUUGAGAUUUUUAUUUUCCUUUUUCACCAACACAUCUUCAGUUUGGAUAAACAGCACUGUGAAGGCAACUGGCGAACAUCUUCAGUUUAAAUAAACAGCACUGUUGCCGUAGAAUCAGCUGACCGUAAAGCACCUUUAGUUUGGAUAACCAGCAUUGCGACAGGGUCGACUGGUUAUCUAUCCAAGUCUCGAUCGAGAAGGAUUUUCGAAUCCUUAUUGGCAGAGGUCAUCUCAUUAGCCUUUUCGACGAAGUGACGUGUUACAAGUUAUUACAUUCGGCACAUUGGAAGCUGAAUUUGAUAUUGAACUUCGCAGAACUAGCAGCCUUAUCUUCAGGCUCUAGAAUCCGAAGGCCGAGAGUGUUCCUUCCUCGGCCGCAGUCGCGAGAUUCAUAAGUCAGCAGCGUACCCAACGCAACAUCAACAAAUUUUACUCCUCGGCCGACGAGUUGGCACGCCCGCACAUAACCGAAUGACGUAGUUAGCUUAUUAAUUACUCGGCAUGCGCGCCACGUAGGCUUGGUAGUUUUUAGGGUCAACACAGUUAUAAGGAAAUAACUGUCGUUAGAAGGUCUAAACAGACUAAACAGAGAAUGUCAUAUUCCAAAAACUUGGAUGUCCUUGUAAUUUUUGUUUUCGUUAAAAAAAUGAAAAAAGUUCGAUAAUUACCCAAUAACCCUGUCACAAAUUACACGAAAGUAAAAUUCAUUUUUAUUUAUUUAAAAAUAAAUAAAAAUUAACACAUAAUACUAUGUAUUCUUCUUUUAGCUUGUAAAUGAAAUAUUUUAGACUAUUCACUACAAGUUAGAGAACAAUGGAGUAAUGAACACAAUUCUUGUCAUUUUUUUAUAAAGUGAGAUUUGAACAAAAAUCUCAACCGUCAACCCACAGUCAUCUCAUGCCAUUUGAGAAAAGUCUCAUGGGUAGCUUAUUUACGACGUACAACAAAAAUUAAAAUAAAUAAAUAAACACUUGUUUAUAAGGAAUAAUUGGUUUCUUUUCAAGAAGAGGUCGCGCAAGCAAGAGCCCGUGCCACGUUGUUAAUGGUGGGCUUGACAUGCUUACAUUGAGAGGUAAUAGGGCCUUUGUUUCCACUGUAUGUGAGAUCAAUGUCACUUAGUUGCACAUUCUCACAUGGCAGCCCUCCACUGCAUACAAUCUUAAUACCGACUGGGGUUGAAGAUGAGCCCUUUAUGUUUUUGAAGCUGACAUUGCUGAUCUUAACUUUGGAUGGAACCUGCAUGCAAUAAUAGUAUUAUUAGAAAACACUUUUUCUCAUAAAUAUAUUUAAUAAAUAGAUCAAAAAAUUCAAGUGGAUUUUCGAAAAACCGGAGUGCUUCCUGAAGACAUGUACUAUUCCAGAAUGAACUCAGGUAGGUAGUCAUUCAAAGUAGUGGAGGUUGGUGUCAAUAGAUCAGAUGGCCAUCGGUUGUAUUCUAUUAUUCAAGAUUAAGUAUUUGACUAAAUGAUAAAGAAAUUAUGAUGUUAAUUUUUGUGCAAAAUAGUAUACCUUAAGUGUGCACUGAUUCCAUGGACAAUACUCUUGGUCUAUGAUGACAGGGUUUCCAACAUUGUCCAUAAUAAUAUCCUCAAAGUGAACAUCUGAGACUACACCAUUUGAUGGAGAAGCAGGCCAUGUUUUGAUUCUCACACCAUUAUCUGUAUUUUUAAUUGUGCAGUUCUUGAUAAAGAUUCCGGACACAGGUUCUUCAUUCUGAUAUCUUCCGAGACUCCCGAUGCUUAUGCCAUGGCCGGGUCCGCAAGUAACUUUGGUUACAUGGAGUUGCUUGGUGCCAUCACCUAUAGAGAUGCAAUCAUCCCCUGUUCCAAUGGUUGAAUCUGUGAUGUUGAUCCCAGUUGAACGUCCGAUAUGAAUUCCAUCUGUGUUCAUGCUCUCUUUAG
rnacentral:lncRNA from 1 species